rnacentral:lncRNA from 1 species
CAGACGGAGGACAGUGAGCAGGGUGAGCAGAGGUCCUACACCCAUCCCACCAGGGGACCAUCUCCUCUUGGGAACCACUCAUCCCCUCCCCACGCUAAUGACGUUAAUCAUCAGCCAGUCUAGAAAGGUUAAUGGGCCAUUAGAGGGGGAGGAAUGCUUUCACGAAGUUGGGAAGUGGGCCUUCCUGGGAGUCACAGCAUAAUGGCCGAAAAGGGCUUUGAGGGAGACAUCACCCCUAACCAGGGCAUCCACCCAGCUCACGCCACAGGGCAGGAAAGAGCUUCCUCCAGCACUUCACAAACAGCUGCCCCACAGGAACCAGGUACAGCGGACACCUAACUGGAUCAGAGGAGGACAGUUGGGGAGGUUUCAGAGAAACAGCUCCAGCUUGGGUGAGAACUGCCAUGACGACCUUUCACAAGACAUCCUCACAAAUGGUGCACACCUGUAAUCCCAGCUGAGGCAGGAGGAUCUGAGAGGCUGAGGCAGGAGGAUCCCAUGUCUGAGUGUACCCUAGGCAACUUAGAAAGACCAUAUCUCAAAAUAAAAAAAUUUAUAAAAAGCCUGAGGAGACAGCUCAGUCCAAAGGCCUCAGGUUCAAUCACUGGUACUGCAAAAAAAAAAAAAAA